CCGGCCAUGGCUUCAGCUCUAUUAACCAGAGAUCUUGGCACGACCCAGCAUCUCCCUAAACCUCCAUGUCCUCAUCUGCACCUCCCAGGGUGAGAGGAUCAAGUACAUUAAUUCAUGGGAAGCACUUAGCCUUUUCUGGCACAGGUUAGUCCUCAAUGUUACUGUAUCCACAGAGCAAUGGUAUUAGGACUCACUUAACAUUUUUUUUUUAACGGCAGCUCACAUCUUAAAUUACUGUUUUAAAAGGAAGCUUCAUGUUACUAUUGUAAAUGGAAAGCCAGCACUACUUGCCGUUCACAGUAGGUAUUCGUACACAUGAAUCCAGGACAGAAAAACGAAUGAUAUUCCAUUUUAGCUAGUCACUGCUGUUGUCCAAGCCCUUAGCCUGAUGCCUGCUUUCUUUGUUAAAAUAAAAGUCAGUUUAUGAAGAUUGGGAGUGGUACUGAAGCCUCACUGGCCCCUCACUGAGACAUUCUCCUCGAUGGAUUCAGAGGACGGAAGAGAAACGAAAGAAGAAUGACUUCCUCACCGUAUGAUUCGGUGCUGUGUUUGUAAAUUGUUUAUAAUCGUCGUGUGCACCACCCCAAAUCAUUUCACACCCUGGCAGGGACCCCACCGCCUUGGUGUGCAGACCCGAAAGGCUGUGGAAGUUGUCUCGUGGCGCCAUCUGGUGGAAUUUCCGGACAGGAGCAGGAACUCCCUCUGGCAAAUAACACUACAAAUGGAUUCAUCUGCCCUCCUGCUGCCGCUUUGAGCCCAACGAAUCCUGAGAAAUCACUUUCUUCUGAUGAAGUGGCUAAAAUCUGGACGCUGUCAGCAAGAGAACAUACAAGCCAACCACAAGCGCCUGUGACAGGGUGUUCCUCUUCCUCUGAUAGUGGUUCUCAACCCAGCCACACCACCAGUUCAUCUGGGCAGCUUUAAAACAUGCAGCCUGGGUUCCAGUUCCAGAGCCAUGAGCCAGCCUUCCUCCAGCAGGAAGAAGAAAGAGGCAAAGACAAAUCAUCCCUGACCACCCAGACGAGGUCAGCUUCCUAUUCAUAUGCUCUCUUGGCACCUUUGCUUCCCCAUCACAAUGCAGAGAAACUCAUUCUUUGUGUCCUUGUUUGAUGUUUAUUCACCACUCUCCCUUGCCUCCCACCAGGUUAGAAGCUCCAAGAAAUCUGGCAUCGUGUCUCUCUUCUUUGCUGUUCUAGUCCUGCGGUCCACCGCAGUGCUUGGCAUGUAGUAGGUGCUCAAUAAGUAGUUAUUGAUGGAAGGAACACUCAAGAUUGCACUUUAAACAUGCUCUUAAUAUUGGGAUGAGUCAGAGUUGGCCUGGCCCAAAUCUGGAAUCUUCUGAAUUGAGUCUAUGAUGAUGAGUGCUGCUAAGGGUUGUACAUACAUGACCUUGCUUAAUCCUCAGCAGAACCCUGAGGGGAAGAUUCUGCCAUUUUCUUCAACUAGCAAAUGAGAAGAUGUCAUGAGGUUAUGGAACACUAAACAGGAAAGCUGUGAUUUGAACUUGGCUCUCCAACUCAGAACCUCUAUUUACUUACCUAGUGACUGUCCAGGACACCAGGGUGACCACAGUCCCCUCCAGGCCCCCCUCCUGCAGCCCUAGCUAGCUCCCUUGAUUGCCAGCAGGCAGCUCAGUAGCCGUGUGUUCAUUCACAGUGCUGAGGAAGCAUCAUACACUUGGCCCCUUGUCCUGAAGUGGGGCUCCACCUGCAGAAAAUGGAGGAAGGGCAGGAGGUGCCAGCAUCAACUGGGAGAAUGCCAGUUCUCCAGCACUCCUCCUCCUCUAGCAGAUUGCUAGGAGCCUUGUGGUACAGGGGUUCUUUCAGACUACAGAUGAGGGCAGGUGGGGCUGCCGUGCUCUCGGAGGAGGGUUGGAGCAUGCCUUGCAGUGGGUGCUGUGUGUGCUGUGGUUUCCAUUUCUGCCCGCUUCUUGGCGGGCCCACCUGAUAAGGGGAAGGUGAUGGGAAACUGAUACCUGUCUGUGCUGGGCCCCCUUGAACCAUGUGGGGCUUAUAGAGACCCUGGGCCAUGGAGAAGUUCUGAGGGCCACUGGAGGAGGGGUCCUAGCUUCUCCCCUCAGACUCCACAGAAUACCCCAGGUAGUGACUAGAUUCUGGCUGGAGUCAAGGCGCUCAGAGCUUUGCUGGGCAAUUUGGUCUAAGCCUCUGUUGCACAGAUUUGGACACUGAAGGCCAGUGAGGCAACGGGCUUGCCAAGAUCACACAGCCCGUCAGUGUCAGAGCUGGCGCUGGCUCUCUAAACUGGAUGCGCUCUGUGGCUCCUUUGACUGAACAGUUCAUCCGGCCCACAGGCUAUUGGAGGGGCAUUUGGUGGAGGGUCCUAGUUUGACACCUGGCUUGAAGAGCAGGUUCCUGGCUCUGUUGUGGAGGUCCUGCUGGGACCAGCCAGUUCUGAUCAUGGCUGCCAGAAGGUGGCGCUAGGUACCCAGUUGCCACUUAAGUUCAAGGAAAAGAGAAUGGCAACCCCGGGUCUGGGUAUAAUUAGGGGAAGAGGCCGGUUUUGGAGCUCAGCUUCCAAUCACCCUCCCGCCCUGGCACUCUUAUGUGUGGGUACCCAGGGGCAGGGGAGCAACUGGAGACUGCACAUUGGGUUCCUCUGGUCUCAGAUCCUUUGGAAGGUUGCAGUGUGGGCAGUGAAUGGGCGCCCAGAUGUGCUCCAUUUACUCAUCUUGACUAGAUGAUAACCAGAGAUGGAAUAAAAGCAGCCAGGAUGGGUGGGUGCCUAUCUCCAACAGCGAGACUCAGCCUGGGCCCCAGCUCAGGCCUUUCCACCUGGCUCAGCUCCCAGGUGCACCCCCUUGCAUGGCACAGAGCACUUCGUCCCCACAGGGCCCGUCCCCUGCUGGGGAAGGGCCAGAGAGCUCAGGGUGCCCCUGAGAGAGGCUGUCUCAUUCUUGGUAACUUCCCCUCCUCCCUUCACCUUUCCUGCUCUCUCUCCAUCUCUCCUUCCUGUCCUCUCACCUUGCUCAUCUCUCCUGCCCCUUUUUCCUCAUGCUCACCUCGUCCCAGUUCCCCCAGGGACCCUGCAGGUCUAGUCCCCACCCCCAACACCUCAUCUGCAGAGGCAAACAGGGACCAAUAUCAGUGAGUUUCUAGGAUGUGGUUUCCAUGGUGAUGGUACAUCUCCUGCCUCCUUGGUGCUCAGCCCUGGACAGGUUGCCGUGGAGACUCUCACCUCAUUGAGGAGUGAUUUGUGGGACUGUUUUUCUUCUUUACUUCAUCUUCUUCUGUCCAGAAAUUCUGCCAGCCCAGAUAGCAUUUUCCCCACUCCUGGCAAACCUGGGAGCCUUCUCCAAAGGGCUUCCCACCCAGGGUCACUGAGGCCUGGAAAGCAUUUUAUUUAUAUGAGGUAUUCCUGGUAACCUUCUCCACCUUUCAUAGGGUGCGUGAGCGGUCACCACAGAGAAACAGGCCAAAGCUGACCCGAUGCCCACCUUUUCUGCCCACAGUGUCCUUCCAGGCCCCUGACCUGUUCCAUGCAGUCAAUGCACGCCAACCCUGAGAGCUUCUGCUCGGUGGCCAUUUUCCUUAAGUGUCUUUGGAGAAACUGUGACAGUGAGAGGGUGAGGUGGGAAUAAUGAGCACAGUGAAUCCAGGCAAAAGAGGUAGGUUAGAAGGGGGAGAAGUACCGGAAAGGGAGGAAUGAGAGGUGGGCAGACUGGGGGAGCUCGAAGGGAGAGGGAGAGGUGGAGGGUGAAAGUUGGUCACCAGAGAAAGCCAACCCGUGAGUCCGCAGCAGGAGUAUUCCUCUGGUGUUAACGCCCUUUAUAAAUCACUCCGGAGCUCCAAACCCAAAACAGGCCUCUUCUUUCUCUGCCAAGUAGAAAAUGUGUUCGCCGACAUAAAAACAUAUUAAGUACAUUGUGGCCCUCAUUCCCCCCAAGUUGAAAGCCAUUACAAUAAUUAAUUAAGGCAGGAGAUUAAUUAAAGAGUCGUUUCCCCCCAUUCUCUCCGAAUAGAUCAAUCAGGAGGCAGGAGAACAUGUGCUACUCGGCAGACAGAGAAGGGGGGCCAGAGGGGAGGCCGAGGGGCAGCAAGGCAGUUACAGACACAGCCAGAGACAAAGGACUUCCGUGCUGGGGGCUGGGGGCCCGGGGCUGAGAGGAGCUGGCAAGGAGGCCCCCAGGAGGGAGAGCUUGCUCUGCUUCCAAGGACCUGUGAUCUGACUUUCCUUCUUGGUGUUCACAGCCUGAGGGUCACUGUCACCAUGGAAACAGGCCUGGGGGCAGGAGGAAUAUCAGCCCUCUGCUCCUGGAUUCCUGGAUUCCCCUCUGGGAGUGAGAGUUCCCAGUGAGCAGAGUUAAGGCCCCAGGAGGCGUUUCUGUGGAGUGGCAUGAGGGGUGGUGGCCUCCCCACUCCAGUGCCAAGCCCAAAACCAACUCCACACGAGCAUUGUCAGGCUGAUGACAAGCCUGAAAGAUUUGUUCCUCACAUGUGCCACACUGCAGACAGGACAGGCUAGUAUUAGCUCAGGCUGAGAAUCAUUAGUCUUUUAGGUAACUUUUCUCAUUUUGCUAAAUUUUGAGUUCUUAAUGAUUGCUUUCUCCCUUUCUCUCUCCCUCUCUUUCACUCUCUUUCUUAUGCCUUUGGGCUGAUCUUUUUUCUAGCUGAAUUUCAUAUUUCUAAGAAAUGUUUAUAUCAUGUAGUGUGUUUCAUGUGUGCAUAGUGGGUUUAACCCAUUCCACCCUGUGUCUCUGUCUUGCUUACUUUUGAGCCUUCCAGAACUUUCCGAUUGUUCAAAAGCACCGCUCUUGUGUUUCUGUAUUUUUUAUGAUCUUUUUCAUAUUUCUAAUAAACAUUAGAAAGGGGUGGUGCUCCAUAGAUGAUUCCCCAUGAGAUCCCUGGUAUCGUUUCCUCCUUUCUGUUGUUUUAUUUUGGGUUUUUGUAUCUUUGUGCAUGUGUGGACUUAGCAGGCGGUUAGCUCUUCUGUUGAGAGGAGAUGGUUCAGCAGAGUUGGGUGAUGAGGGAGCAGCUCAUCCAGCAUCUGCUCUGCCACUUACAAAGUGUAACUCAGAAUCACAAAGCAGCACACCUUUUACUCACUCUGUCAUUAUGAAUGGGGGCUUAGUAGGCACCAGGCUUUGGAAACGCUUGGUGGACAAGACAGGUGUGGUCCCUGCCUUCUGGGGGAUGACAGUCUGGUGGGAGAGAUAGACAUCAAACAAUAAAUACACAAGAAUAUAGCUACAAAUUGUGAAAAAUACCACGCAGGCAAAACCUAGGUUCUUUGAUAGAGAAUAGCACAUGCCUACUUUAGGCUGGGGGUCAGGAGGAGGUGACAUUUACACUGCAGCAGAAGCCAGCCAGACAAAGUGAGCAGUGAAGAGUGACGGUCCCCAGCAGGAGUGGAGCCAUCAGAAGCUGAUGAAGCUUCAGCCUCGGGGCCCUUCAGUGCACUAGAGCCUCACAAGCCUUUGGGGGUGGCCCUAGCAAUAAUGGGUCCACAUGGUCAUAUGUUUUUGUAAAAAUUGCAAAAAGUUCUUUAACUGAAAUCAGUUAAGAGCACUGACAAGUGGCUGGGUAGGGAACCACUGGGACCUGGCUGAGGAAAUGCUGAGCUGGGGAGUCUAUCUGGGUUUAGGGAGAUGUAUUUACAUGCUUGUGGCACUUCCAUGUAUGGUCAAGGUCAAGGUCAAGGCCAUCGUGGGGUGGGAAUGGCUCCCAGGCACAUUCUUCCUGCCCACUGUGCUGGGCAAGAAGGUGCAGUAUUUGGGGUUGACCGGAGCAGGCCCUUUUGCUGGCGGGGAGUGUGGCAGGUGGGACAUGGAGCAGCAUGUGGCUGGGAAGGUGCAGAGGCAGCUUCAGGGUCUGGCAUAUUGUUUUGAAUUUAGUGAAGUUUGUGGAAUUUGUCAGCUUUUUAAAACUUGUAAUUUGUUUGGACUUUUCUCAUUCUAAACAAGUUUUCACUUGUAUGC